ensembl:misc_RNA Metazoa_SRP Metazoan signal recognition particle RNA
GCUAGGUAUGGUGGCACAUGCCUGUGGUCCUAGCUACUUGGGAGGCUGAGAUAGGAGGAUUACUUGAGCCUAGGAGGUCAAGGCUGCAGUGAGCAUUGACUGCACCACUGCACUCCAGCCUGGGCAACAGAGUAAGACCCUGUCUCAG